UUGAACUUUGGAGUAUUUGGAAUAGUUUACUCUUGUUAUAAGAAAAGUGGUAUGUUGAAGCUUUAAUUUAGACAGAUUGCUAGGAGGCGGUUAGUGCUAUUCAAGAUGUCUAUUUGGGGUAUCAUAUUCGGCAUUGAUUCAACGAAUUAAGCAUGUAAGAGCCCAAUUUUGCCUGGGCCCAAUAAUGAAACAAAAAAAAAACAGUCCAUUUAUAAGGUCCGAGAGCCCAAAAAAAUUAUGACAAGCCCAAUUACAAGGAGGGGCCCAAAAUCCUAAUCUUUCAGCAGAAACCCUAGUUGCCCUAGCCCCCUGCCGCGCUACUCCCCGACAUGUCAGUGGACACGGCACCCGAAACCUUUCUCCUUGCACCAAAGCGACAGUUGCAACCUCGUUGACUUCCACCGCCCCUGCAAGAAACACAAAAAAGGAAAAGAAGCAGAAACAAGCAAUUGAAGAAAAAUAUAUAUUGUAAUAUUAUUUUGGUUAUAAAAACCGAUCUUUGUAACAAGAAAAGAGGGAUCGAAUACAUUGAAAUAAAAAACGAAAUCGAAAUACAAAAAAAAUAUCAGAAGAAUCGAAAUAAAAAUACCACAAAGUUCAAAAAGGUAACAUUUUAUUUAUUAUUAUUAUUGUAUUUUGAUUUUUCUUUUUUCGAAACAAAAAUAAAAAAAAAGAGAGAACUUUACUUGUUUUGCGUCGUCGCUAGAGGUCCCUUCUGACUCGAGAAGCCUCGGACCCUUUAGGGUCCAUGGAGGGCCUCGUCUGAGAGAGUAGAAACCGAAAGGUUUCUCUCCUUUUCUGGAUUUUGGCUAAGUUUUGGGUGAUUCUGACUCUAGAUCGGAGAUCUAAGCGGAAAAAGAUUUUGAGAAUUUUAUUUUUGGUGAUCUUCGGCCAUCGGAGGGGGUAGUCUCCGUCGUCGGUGACAGGCGGCCACGGCGGAGAUUCGCAGACCCCGUGGCUGGACUCGAAGCCACUUUAGAGAAAAAAGGAGAAAAAAGCUUUUUUUUU
rnacentral:lncRNA from 1 species